GAGGGUAUAGCUCAGCAGUAGAGUGCAUGUUUAGCAUGCAAGUGGCCCGGAUGUGAUCCCCAGUACCUUCA
rnacentral:tRNA from 1 species